rnacentral:rRNA from 1 species
UGAGACAGUUCGGUCCCUAUCCGUCGCAGGCGUAGGAAAUUUGAGAAGACCUGUCCUUAGUACGAGAGGACCGGGAUGGACGUACCUCUGGUGUACCAGUUUAGGUCCCAAGGGUUGGGCUGUUCGCCCAUUAAAGUGGUACGCGAGCUGGGUUCAGAACGUCGUGAGACAGUUCGGUCCCUAUCCGUCGCAGGCGUAGGAAAUUUGAGAAGACCUGUCCUUAGUACGAGAGGACCGGGAUGGACGUACCUCUGGUGUACCAGUUGUUCUGCCAAGGGCAUGGCUGGGUAGCUAUGUACGGAAUGGAUAAGCGCUGAAAGCAUCUAAGCGCGAAGCCAACUUCAAGAUAAGAUUUCCCACCGCAAGGGUAAGACCCCAGAAAGACUAUCUGGUUGAUAGGUCGAAGGUGUAAGUGCAGCAAUGUAUUUAGCUUAUCGAUACUAAUAGGUCGAGGACUUGACCAAAUU